GACGGAGGGGGCUAGCGUUGUUCGGAAUUACUGGGCGUAAAGAGCACGUAGGCGGCGGUGCAAGUUGGGGGUGAAAUCCCGGGGCUCAACCCUGGAAUUGCCUCCAAAACUGUGCUGCUUGAGUUCGGAAGAGGAGAGUGGAAUUCCCAGUGUAGAGGUGAAAUUCGUAGAUAUUGGGAAGAACACCGGUGGCGAAGGCGGCUCACUGGCCCGUAACUGACGCUCAGGCGCGAUAGCGUGGGGAUCAAACAGG
rnacentral:rRNA from 1 species